ensembl:snRNA U2 U2 spliceosomal RNA
AUGGCUUCUCGGCCUUUUGGCUAAGAUCAAGUGUAGAAAACCAAUACAUAAUAUAAAGCAGAUAAUCCACACUCAGCCUGUAGCCAUUGCUUGCCAUCAACAGGUUCAUCUUCCUUCUGCCAGUGUUUUAAUGAGCACACUAUUGUGUUGGGGCAGAAUUCAAGAAGUGGAG